rnacentral:lncRNA from 1 species
GCUCAGUUCACCAUUCAUGGCAAAGCCCAACUAUCCCAGAUGAGUGAUCAAAUCAAUCAUCUUCAGGAUAUGCAUUUGCACAGAAGUGCCUUCAAUUAUACGGGCACAGAAUAACUGCUUUGAUAUCUCAUAUUGAGCAGUUCGACUUUGUUCCCCAUAUAACUCCUUAAGAUUAAAGAAUAUAGAGAGAACAUCCACGUCCUCAUGUUGUCUUUGAAGCUCGUUGCUCAUGGAGGUAAGCACUGUCAUCUUUCUACAUCUUUUAUGGGAUCCUUUUCUCUUCGAAAGCAUCUUUCCCAAGUGAAUCGG